ACUUCAUGUAGUUAUUGUGAGAAACGAUUGUAGUGAGGAAUACGUUCAGAAAAGAUUCUUCAAGUGUAACAACCAAGGGAGUUUUACCAAACCAGAUAAUCGUUUUCAGAUGUGAAUAUUGUACAAGUAUCCAUGGAUUCAACAUUGAGUUGUGUCUUAUUUUGAGCGAUUCCCAUUGAACGUAGAUUUACGGAUUUCAUACUUGCUGCGUUGCUUAAAAAAUGUUUAAAACAUUAUGAUCAUAGGCAAAGCCAGAUCGAACUUUAUUCUACAAUGCUAAUUUUUCUGCAAGAUUAUUAUUCAUUUCUUUACAAAAUUAAAUGUAUUCGUAGUUUUUUCAGUGAUUAAAUACAAAAACAUUUGCAUGGUUGGUGUAAAAA